AACAUACCCAUUGUUGCUUCGGCGGAACGCCCCGGCGCCCUCGCGGCCCGGACCCAGGCGCCCGCCGGAGACCCCAAACUCUUGUUUCCCCAGCGGCAUCUCCUCUGAGUGGCACAAACAAUGAAUAAAAACUUUCAACAACGGAUCUCUUGGCUCUGGCAUCGAUGAAGAACGCAGCGAAAUGCGAUAAGUAAUGUGAAUUGCAGAAUUCAGUGAAUCAUCGAAUCUUUGAACGCACAUUGCGCCCGCCAGUAUUCUGGCGGGCAUGCCUGUUCGAGCGUCAUUUCAACCCUCAGGCCCCGCCUGGCGUUGGGGAUCGGCGCGGCCCUCUCCGGGCUGCCGGCCCCGAAAACUAGUGGCGGUCUCGCUGUAGUCCUCCUCUGCGCAGUAGCAACGCUCGCACUGGAACUCAGAGCGGCCACGCCAUAAAACACCCCACUUCUGAAAGUUGACCUCGGAUCACGUAGGAUACCCGCUGAAGUUAAUAUAUCGUAAGCGGAGGA
rnacentral:rRNA from 1 species